rnacentral:rRNA from 1 species
AAACUAACAAGGAUUCCCCUAGUAACGGCGAGUGAAGCGGGAUGAGCUCAAGCUUGAAAUCUCCGUGCAAUUUUUGCACGGCGAAUUGUAGUCUAUAGAGGCGUGGUCAGUAUAAGCACUUGGGGUAAGUUCCUUGGAAAAGGACAGCAUGGAGGGUGAUACUCCCGUUCAUCUCUAAGUUGCUUGUGCGUACGACCCGUUUUCUUUGAGUCGCGUUGUUUGAGAAUGCAGCGCAAAGUAGGUGGUAAAUUCCAUCUAAAGCUAAAUAUUGGUGCGAGACCGAUAGCAAACAAGUACCGUGAGGGAAAGAUGAAAAGAACUUUGAAAAUAGAGUUAAAGAGUACCUGAAACUGCUGAAAGGGAACCAAAUCGUUUCCAGUGUCUAUAAUCCGUGGUAUAUUUCAUUGGCGAGUGUGUGCGUGCGUGUGCUGUUGCAGUGGCUUUUUGGCUGCGCUCGGUGUGUGUGCUGUGUGUACUUGCUGGUGCCCUGUGCUGCGGUGGGACGUCAAGGUCAGUUCGUAUGCUGCGGGAAAUGGCUACUGAGGAGGUAGGGCUUACGCUUGCGUUUGUCUGUUAUAUCUUGGUGGACGAGUCGUCGCGGUUGGGACUGAGGUGCCUACAACGUGCUUUCGAGUGGGCUUGGGUCUCCGUGUGCGCCGUGUGCGGAUAGCUUGCUAUGCGUGUGUGGUUGUAUGUGGAUUGAUGCGAGCCGUAACUUGUAGUCGUUCGGGACGUUGACGAAAUGGAGCGAUUUGAC